rnacentral:rRNA from 1 species
UGGGGAAUUUUGGACAAUGGGGGAAACCCUGACCCAGCCAUCCCGCGUGUGCGAUGAAGGCCUUCGGGUUGUAAAGCACUUUUGGCAGGAAAGAAACGUCGUGGGUUAAUACCCCGCGAAACUGACGGUACCUGCAGAAUAAGCACCGGCUAACUACGUGCCAGCAGCCGCGGUAAUACGUAGGGUGCAAGCGUUAAUCGGAAUUACUGGGCGUAAAGCGUGCGCAGGCGGUUCGGAAAGAAAGAUGUGAAAUCCCAGAGCUUAACUUUGGAACUGCAUUUUUAACUACCGGGCUAGAGUGUGUCAGAGGGAGGUGGAAUUCCGCGUGUAGCAGUGAAAUGCGUAGAUAUGCGGAGGAACACCGAUGGCGAAGGCAGCCUCCUGGGAUAACACUGACGCUCAUGCACGAAAGCGUGGGGAGCAAACAGGAUUAGAUACCCUGGUAGUCCACGCCCUAAACGAUGUCAACUAGCUGUUGGGGUCUUCGGACCUUGGUAGCGCAGCUAACGCGUGAAGUUGACCGCCUGGGGAGUACGGUCGCAAGAUUAAAACUUAAAUGAAUUG